rnacentral:rRNA from 1 species
UUUUUGGAGAGUUUGAUCCUGGCUCAGGAUGAACGCUGGCGGCGUGCCUAAUACAUGCAAGUCGAGCGGUAAGGCUCCUGCAGAUUAUUUAAGCGGUGAAUUGUAUUCACAACCCAUACUCCCGGCUAGGAGAUAGGGUAAGUUUGAAUGAUGUGCUGGAGUACACGAGCGGCGGACGGGUGAGUAACGCGUAAGAAUGUACCCCAAACUGAGGGAUAACUGCUCGAAAGAGUAGCUAAUACCGCAUGUGCUCUUCGGAGUAAAGCUUCG